UUCACCAUGUUGGCUAGGCUGGUCUCAAAACUCCCGGCCUCAGGUGAUCUGCCCGCCUCGGCCUCCCAAAGUGCUCGGAUACAGGCAUGAGCCACCAUGCCCGGCCUCUUGUUUGUGGACUUUUAACUUGAGAGGGAAUCGGAGCAUAAAAACCUGAUACUCUGCGAUAAAAAAAAAUUUGUGCUUGCCCUCCUUUUAUCUUUGCUAAGCCCCGAAGCCUACUCAGAAUGUCUUUGUGUGGAGUUUCCCCUUUGGGAACUUUAUUUGGUGAUGUGGCCCUCUAUCUUUUCCUGGUCCCGAGUUUCAGAACUGCCUGGGCCUAACCUAGGAUGCCCACAGCUGCCACUUCUGGAGGAUCUAGUGAUUAUCAGCCCCUGGGUCACUCCUCCCAGAGGACAGCCUAAGGUGUAGGGAUGGGGCUUCUUAGGGGAGCAGGAGGAUUUUAUG